rnacentral:rRNA from 1 species
GGACUACUGGGGUAUCUAAUCCUGUUUGAUCCCCACGCUUUCGCGCCUCAGCGUCAGUUGUGUGCCAGAUAGCCGCCUUCGCCACCGGUGUUCCUCCUAAUAUCUACGAAUUUCACCUCUACAUUAGGAAUUCCGCUAUCCCCUCACACACUCCAGCAAUGCAGUUUCAAAGGCAGUUCCGGAGUUAAGCUCCGGGAUUUCACCCCUGACUUGCAUCACCGCCUACGCGCGCUUUACGCCCAGUAAUUCCGAACAACGCUAGCACCCUUCGUAUUACCGCGGCGGCUGGCAC